rnacentral:lncRNA from 1 species
UGUCUGCGGGACUGGAGCCCUGCGUGGCCCGAUGCUCCGGGAAAUGAAGCAACUCAAUAAAAACUUUUGAUAUUAGUUUUUAUAGGUAUUUACACUCUGGCGAGGGUAGCUGUGUACGGAAGCUUCGUUAAUCAGCCCCCAACCUUCAACCUUCGGUUUGGAUACUCAGUUCCU